rnacentral:rRNA from 1 species
CCUACGGGAGGCUGCAGUGAGGAAUAUUGGUCAAUGGGCGCGAGCCUGAACCAGCCAAGUAGCGUGAAGGAUGACUGCCCUACGGGUUGUAAACUUCUUUUGUAAAGGAGUAAAGUCAGCCACGUGUGCCUGUUUGUAUGUACUUUAUGAAUAAGGAUCGGCUAACUCCGUGCCAGCAGCCGCGGUAAUACGGAGGAUCCGAGCGUUAUCCGGAUUUAUUGGGUUUAAAGGGAGCGUAGACGGGUUGUUAAGUCAGUGGUGAAAGUCUGCGGCUCAACCGUAAUAUUGCAGUUGAUACUGGCAGUCUUGAGUACAGUUGAGGUAGGCGGAAUGCGUGGUGUAGCGGUGAAAUGCUUAGAUAUCACGAAGAACUCCGAUUGCGAAGGCAGCAUACUA